AUUGAACGCUGGCGGCAUGCCUUACACAUGCAAGUCGAACGGCAGCGCGGGAGCAAUCCUGGCGGCGAGUGGCGAACGGGUGAGUAAUAUAUCGGAACGUGCCCAGUAGUGGGGGAUAGCCCGGCGAAAGCCGGAUUAAUACCGCAUACGACCUACGGGUGAAAGCGGGGGAUCGCAAGACCUCUCGCUAUUGGAGCGGCCGAUAUCAGAUUAGGUAGUUGGUGGGGUAAAGGCCCACCAAGCCUACGAUCUGUAGUUGGUCUGAGAGGACGACAGGCCACACUGGGACUGAGACACGGCCCAGACUCCUACGGGAGGCAGCAGUGGGGAAUUUUGGACAAUGGGGGCAACCCUGAUCCAGCAAUGCCGCGUGCAGGAAGAAGGCCUUCGGGUUGUAAACUGCUUUUGUCAGGGAAGAAAUCCCUUGGGUUAAUACCUCGGGGGGAUGACGGUACCUGAAGAAUAAGCACCGGCUAACUACGUGCCAGCCGCCGCAGUAAGAC
rnacentral:rRNA from 1 species